GAGCACUGUUUCGGCAAGGGGGUCAUCCCGACUUACCAACCCGAUGCAAACUGCGAAUACCGGAGAAUGUUAUCACGGGAGACACACGGCGGGUGCUAACGUCCGUCGUGAAGAGGGAAACAACCCAGACCGCCAGCUAAGGUCCCAAAGUCAUGGUUAAGUGGGAAACGAUGUGGGAAGGCCCAGACAGCCAGGAUGUUGGCUUAGAAGCAGCCAUCAUUUAAAGAAAGCGUAAUAGCUCACUGGUCGAGUCGGCCUGCGCGGAAGAUGUAACGGGGCUAAACCAUGCACCGAAGCUGCGGCAGCGACGCUUAUGCGUUGUUGGGUAGGGGAGCGUUCUGUAAGCCUGUGAAGGUGUGCUGUGAGGCAUGCUGGAGGUAUCAGAAGUGCGAAUGCUGACAUAAGUAACGAUAAAGCGGGUGAAAAGCCCGCUCGCCGGAAGACCAAGGGUUCCUGUCCAACGUUAAUCGGGGCAGGGUGAGUCGACCCCUAAGGCGAGGCCGAAAGGCGUAGUCGAUGGGAAACAGGUUAAUAUUCCUGUACUUGGUGUUACUGCGAAGGGGGGACGGAGAAGGCUAUGUUGGCCGGGCGACGGUUGUCCCGGUUUAAGCGUGUAGGCUGGUUUUCCAGGCAAAUCCGGAAAAUCAAGGCUGAGGCGUGAUGACGAGGCACUACGGUGCUGAAGCAACAAAUGCCCUGCUUCCAGGAAAAGCCUCUAAGCAUCAGGUAACAUCAAAUCGUACCCCAAACCGACACAGGUGGUCAGGUAGAGAAUACCAAGGCGCUUGAGAGAACUCGGGUGAAGGAACUAGGCAAAAUGGUGCCGUAACUUCGGGAGAAGGCACGCUGAUAUGUAGGUGAAGUCCCUCGCGGAUGGAGCUGAAAUCAGUCGAAGAUACCAGCUGGCUGCAACUGUUUAUUAAAAACACAGCACUGUGCAAACACGAAAGUGGACGUAUACGGUGUGACGCCUGCCCGGUGCCGGAAGGUUAAUUGAUGGGGUCAGCGCAAGCGAAGCUCUUGAUCGAAGCCCCGGUAAACGGCGGCCGUAACUAUAACGGUCCUAAGGUAGCGAAAUUCCUUGUCGGGUAAGUUCCGACCUGCACGAAUGGCGUAAUGAUGGCCAGGCUGUCUCCACCCGAGACUCAGUGAAAUUGAACUCGCUGUGAAGAUGCAGUGUACCCGCGGCAAGACGGAAAGACCCCGUGAACCUUUACUAUAGCUUGACACUGAACAUUGAGCCUUGAUG
rnacentral:rRNA from 1 species